GUGAACGCUGGCGGUAGGCCUAACACAUGCAAGUCGAACGGCAGCACAGUAAGAGCUUGCUCUUACGGGUGGCGAGUGGCGGACGGGUGAGGAAUACAUCGGAAUCUACUUUUUCGUGAGGGAUAACGUAGGGAAACUUACGCUAAUACCGCAUACGACCUACGGGUGAAAGCAGGGGAUCUUCGGACCUUGCGCGAUUGAAUGAGCCGAUGUCGGAUUAGCUAGUUGGCGGGGUAAAGGCCCACCAAGGCGACGAUCCGUAGCUGGUCUGGGAGGAUGAUCAGCCACACUGGAACUGAGACACGGUCCAGACUCCUACGGGAGGCAGCAGUGGGGAAUAUUGGACAAUGGGCGCAAGCCUGAUCCAGCCAUACCGCGUGGGUGAAGAAGGCCUUCGGGUUGUAAAGCCCUUUUGUUGGGAAAGAAAAGCAGCAGGUUAAUACCCCGCUGUUCUGACGGUACCCAAAGAAUAAGCACCGGCUAACUUCGUG
rnacentral:rRNA from 1 species